rnacentral:rRNA from 1 species
AUGCAACUCACAAGAGGAUGCACUGGUUCGCGUGGUGGAAGAUGUGCAUUCCAAAAAAAACAAGGUGGAAUGGGCUUUAGAGACAUCCACUGUUUUAAUUUGGCUUUACUAGCAAAACAGGUGUGGAGGCUUAUUGAUAAUCCCGAUUCUCUUUGUGCGACGAUCCUCAAAGCGAAUUAUUUCAGUGAUGGAGAUGUCUUGAAUGCUACUUUGAAGAAGAAAUCCUCGUAUACUUGGCAAAGUAUUAUGGCUGGUGUUGAAGUCCUAAAGAUUGGGCACAUAUGGAGAGUUGGUGAUGGGACAAAAAUUAAGAUUUGGAAGGAUGAAUGGAUUCCGCGAUCCCCAACCAAAAAGGUAUUAACUACUCGUGGUAACCAUCUUCUAUCACGUGUGUGUGAUCUCAUUGACCCUAUGACGGGUGAUUGGGACGAACAACUUGUUAGGCAAACAUUCUGGCAGGUGGAUGCUCAACGCAUACUUGCAAUUCCACUACCUUUGAAUGAUAUGACCGAUUUUGUCGCGUGGAAUAUGACUAGAACAGGAGUAUUCACAGUACGGUCAGCUUAUCAUGGUGUAUGGGAGUCUCAGUACGGCUAUAAAAUUCAGAAUUCAGUGGGGUCCUCUAAACAGAGAGAUACUUGGGAAUCCGUGUGGAGUUUGCUAUGCCCGUCGAAAAUAAUAUUUUUUUGGAGGGCACUUCACAGUGCAGUCCCUUGACGAUCUAUUCUUGCCAAUAAACAUAUCAAAAUCAACCCUAGUUGCCCUGCGUGCAAUUUAGGUCCUGAUAAUAUCAAGCAUUUGCUAUUUGAGUGUAAGUUAGCAACAUAUUUGUGGAAAUUAUUAGGUGUAGAUGAUAUCAUCAGGAAGGCCUGCUUGCUGGACAGGGCGGGAGAAAUUAUUCUUGAACACUUGCUAUGUUUGAAAGACCAUGACAUUCACAUCUUGGAUCUACCGAAAUAUACUUAUCUACUUAUAUAUAAAAAGUACUUGAUGGGUUCACAGAAAAAAGAGAAUAAGAAAUAA